rnacentral:rRNA from 1 species
GGGGAUUAGUGGCGAACGGGUGAGUAACACGUGGGCAAUCUGCCCUGCACUCUGGGACAAGCCCUGGAAACGGGGUCUAAUACCGGAUACUGACCUUCACAGGCAUCUGUGAUGGUCGAAAGCUCCGGCGGUGCAGGAUGAGCCCGCGGCCUAUCAGCUUGUUGGUGAGGUAGUGGCUCACCAAGGCGACGACGGGUAGCCGGCCUGAGAGGGCGACCGGCCACACUGGGACUGAGACACGGCCCAGACUCCUACGGGAGGCAGCAGUGGGGAAUAUUGCACAAUGGGCGAAAGCCUGAUGCAGCGACGCCGCGUGAGGGAUGACGGCCUUCGGGUUGUAAACCUCUUUCAGCAGGGAAGAAGCGAAAGUGACGGUACCUGCAGAAGAAGCGCCGGCUAACUACGUGCCAGCAGCCGCGGUAAUACGUAGGGCGCGAGCGUUGUCCGGAAUUAUUGGGCGUAAAGAGCUCGUAGGCGGCUUGUCACGUCGGUUGUGAAAGCCCGGGGCUUAACCCCGGGUCUGCAGUCGAUACGGGCAGGCUAGAGUUCGGUAGGGGAGAUCGGAAUUCCUGGUGUAGCGGUGAAAUGCGCAGAUAUCAGGAGGAACACCGGUGGCGAAGGCGGAUCUCUGGGCCGAUACUGACGCUGAGGAGCGAAAGCGUGGGGAGCGAACAGGAUUAGAUACCCUGGUAGUCCACGCCGUAAACGGUGGGCACUAGGUGUGGGCAACAUUCC